UGGUGGAGUGAUUUGUCUGGUUAAUUCCGUUAACGAACGAGACCUCGACCUGCUAAAUAGUUCUGCGAACCUUGCGUUCGUUAGCGACUUCUUAGAGGGACUCUCGGUGUGUAGCCGAUGGAAGUUAGAGGCAAUAAA
rnacentral:rRNA from 1 species